GAUGAACGCUGGCGGCGUGCCUAAUACAUGCAAGUCGAGCGAACAGACGAGGAGCUUGCUCCUUCGACGUUAGCGGCGGACGGGUGAGUAACACGUAGUUAACCUACCUAUAAGACUGGGAUAACUUCGGGAAACCGGAGCUAAUACCGGAUAAUAUUUCGAACCGCAUGGUUCGAUAGUGAAAGAUGGCUUUGCUAUCACUUAUAGAUGGACCUGCGCCGUAUUAGCUAGUUGGUAAGGUAACGGCUUACCAAGGCAACGAUACGUAGCCGACCUGAGAGGGUGAUCGGCCACACUGGAACUGAGACACGGUCCAGACUCCUACGGGAGGCAGCAGUCGGGAAUCUUCCGCAAUGGGCGAAAGCCUGACGGAGCAACGCCGCGUGAGUGAUGAAGGUCUUCGGAUCGUAAAACUCUGUUAUUAGGGAAGAACAAACGUGUAAGUAACUGUGCACGUCUUGACGGUACCUAAUCAGAAAGCCACGGCUAACUCCGUG
rnacentral:rRNA from 1 species